rnacentral:rRNA from 1 species
UACAGAGGGGGCAAGCGUUGUUCGGAAUUACUGGGCGUAAAGGGCGCGUAGGCGGCCUUCUAAGUCGAACGUGUAAUCCCCGGGCUCAACCCGGGAACUGCGUCCGAGACUGGAAGGCUCGAAUCCGGGAGAGGGAUGUGGAAUUCCAGGUGUAGCGGUGAAAUGCGUAGAGAUCUGGAGGAACAUCGGUGGCGAAGGCGGCAUCCUGGACCGGUAUUGACGCUGAGGCGCGAAAGCCAGGGGAGCAAACGGG